AGACCCGAAACCCGGUGAUCUAGCCAUGGGCAGGUUGAAGGUUGGGUAACACUAACUGGAGGACCGAACCGACUAAUGUUGAAAAAUUAGCGGAUGACCUGUGGCUGGGGGUGAAAGGCCAAUCAAACCGGGAGAUAGCUGGUUCUCCCCGAAAGCUAUUUAGGUAGCGCCUCGUGAAUUCAUCUCCGGGGGUAGAGCACUGUUUCGGCUAGGGGGCCAUCCCGGCUUACCAACCCGAUGCAAACUGCGAAUACCGGAGAAUGUUAUCACGGGAGACACACGGCGGGUGCUAACGUCCGUCGUGAAGAGGGAAACAACCCAGACCGCCAGCUAAGGUCCCAAAGUCAUGGUUAAGUGGGAAACGAUGUGGGAAGGCCCAGACAGCCAGGAUGUUGGCUUAGAAGCAGCCAUCAUUUAAAGAAAGCGUAAUAGCUCACUGGUCGAGUCGGCCUGCGCGGAAGAUGUAACGGGGCUAAACCAUGCACCGAAGCUGCGGCAGCGACGCUGAUGCGUUGUUGGGUAGGGGAGCGUUCUGUAAGCCUGCGAAGGUGGCCUGUGAGGGUUGCUGGAGGUAUCAGAAGUGCGAAUGCUGACAUAAGUAACGAUAAAGCGGGUGAAAAGCCCGCUCGCCGGAAGACCAAGGGUUCCUGUCCAACGUUAAUCGGGGCAGGGUGAGUCGACCCCUAAGGCGAGGCCGAAAGGCGUAGUCGAUGGGAAACGGGUUAAUAUUCCCGUACUUGGUGUUACUGCGAAGGGGGGACGGAGAAGGCUAUGUUGGCCGGGCGACGGUUGUCCCGGUUUAAGCGUGUAGGUGUGUGUUCCAGGUA
rnacentral:rRNA from 1 species